GGGGACGUUCUUGGAUUCGACAGGGGUCCCCCGAGCUUAUUAAGCGUGUCGGAGGGUUGGCUCCGUCAUCAACACAUUUCGGUUAAAUAUAACUGACAAAUCAAACAAUAAUUUCGCAGUAGCUGCGUAAUAGCCACUGCAUCGCCUAACAGCAUCUCCUACGUGCUGUUAACGCGAUUCAACCCUAGUAGGAUAUGCUAAACACUGCCGCUUGAAGUCUGUUUAGAUGUUGCUUAGCAUGAUGCGAAAAUUAUCAAUAAACUACACACGUAGAAAGAUUUGUAUCAGGACCUCUGGACGCGGGUUCGAAUCCCGCCGUCUCCAUUA
rnacentral:tmRNA from 1 species